rnacentral:rRNA from 1 species
AUUGAACGCUGGCGGCAGGCCUAACACAUGCAAGUCGAAUGGUAACAGGAAACAGCUUGCUGUUUCUCUGACGAGUGGCGGACGGGUGAGUAAUGUCUGGGAAACUGCCUGAUGGAGGGGGAUAACUACUGGAAACGGUAGCUAAUACCGCAUAACGUCGCAAGACCAAAGAGGGGGACCUUCGGGCCUCUUGCCAUCAGAUGUGCCCAGAUGGGAUUAGCUAGUAGGUGGGGUAACGGCUCACCUAGGCGACGAUCCCUAGCUGGUCUGAGAGGAUGACCAGCCACACUGGAACUGAGACACGGUCCAGACUCCUACGGGAGGCUGCAGUGGGGAAUAUUGCACAAUGGGCGCAAGCCUGAUGCAGCCAUGCCGCGUGUAUGAAGAAGGCCUUCGGGUUGUAAAGUACUUUCAGCGGGGAGGAAGGGAGUAAAGUUAAUACCUUUGCUCAUUGACGUUACCCGCAGAAGAAGCACCGGCUAACUCCGUG